rnacentral:rRNA from 1 species
AGGAUGAACGCUGGCGGCGUGCUUAAGACAUGCAAGUCGAACGCAGAGCUGAUAGCAAUAUUGGCUCUGAGUGGCGAAUGGGUGCGUAACACGUAGGUGACCUGCCCUGAAGUGGGGAAUAACAGUCCGAAAGGACUGCUAAUACCGCAUACGGUUCAAGGCGUUAGAGAACUUGAACCAAAGCUCGUAAGGGCGCUUCAGGAGGGGCCUGCGGCCCAUCAGUUAGUUGGUAGGGUAACGGCCUACCAAGACGACGACGGGUAGGGGACCUGAGAGGGUGCCCCCGACACGUGGCACUGACACACGGGCCAGACUCCUAGGGAGCAGCAGUCGGAAUAUUGCCAAUGGACAAGUCUGAGCAGCAACGCCGCGUGCGCGAUGAAGGCCUUACGGGCUAAAGCGCUUUUCGGGAGGUAUGGAGGAAGGUACACGUACGUACCCGGAAAGUAAGGAACCGGCUAACUACGUGCCAAGCAGCCGAC